GGGUGAGGGAGAGAGUUGUAACGGCGAAGCCCUGCCGGAUUUUGGAUCCUAACCGCAGGUAUGGCCGGAGAUACGCCAGCUCUACUUGACGGAGUCAUAGACUCGUCGCACCGGUCCUUUCUUGCUGUGGUUCAGCGCGUGAAAUUUAACGUGCUGCGUCCACGUCCACCAGCGGAGUUUAUUCCUGUUGAGCCACGAUGGGUGCCCAGGUUGAGUGAGGCUGGUCUUCUUACUAUAGGUCGUCUUGCUGAGAGUGGUUUAGUACAGCUGGACAGGUCUCUACUUACGGCUCUAGUUGAUAGAUGGAGGCCUGAGACAAACACCUUCCAC